AUGUGGUAGCUUGUUUACAAAUUUGCAACUUGUGUUUGUAGUUAACUUCAUUGUUGCUAACUACUAUGGCCUUGCUGUAGGUAAAUUGAGUUUAUUCUGGUUUGAAAAUUUCCUUUGCAAUGGAUUACUUCUCAACUCUAGUUCCUUGUUUACAUGAUUGAUGAUUGUUAACCUAUCUAUUUUUGUUAUUUUAUAUUAUUUUGAUUUCAGUUUUCUAGGCUAAGCAAUAGGCAAGCACAUUAUAAGAUAACACAAAGCAGAAACUCUGGAAGAUGCUGUUGUCUCAGCGGACAGUUAUUUGCUUAUCCAUGAGAUGCCUUUUUAGAGGUGGCCAAACAAGUUUAAUGUGCAGUAUUUGUCUUGGUUAAAAAAGCAUUCAUUGGAUAUUACAAGAAAUUCUUAGGCAGACAAUUUGCACCUUAAACAAGAUAAUGGCACCCUGCAGGAAAGAUGGUCAUGUGAUGUCAAGCUGUCUGGAAAAGAUGAAGAAAUGAAGGUCCAUUGGUUGAGUGGCUGCUCUGAAUCCCACUCCAAGCUGUUUGUGAUGCAUUGGUUCGAGUUCCAGGUCCAAAUCAUGGAAAAAGCUGUGUAUCAUCCUGAAAGUACAGAUGGCACCAAACGUGGAAGAUUGUGACGAGGACCUACUGUUGUGCGUUGGAAAAAGACUCGGGUGAAGAUUAACACAAGAGUUACUUACAUUCAGUGAAAAGGUCUCAAAUGCAUUUAGGACAAGAUCUGUUCAAUGUAAGAAAUGGUCCACAGAAUGAAUGCCAGUUGAUGUGUGUCCUUGGAAUGGCUGAUUCUUACAGGAAGUUCUGUCUCAACUUUUCUUCUGUCACUGAAUGUUGCUAGAGUAAAAUUCUAAAAGCAGGCUGGUUAGCAAUAGACAACACACUCUCUUUUGCCGGGAUGUGAUACUGUGAUGAAGAAGCAAUAACCAUUGGCCUUGUGAUAUCUUGAGAGAAGAGAGAGACGAUAGCUACGAAGAGAAGAAGACAAGGAAGUCAAAGAUAUUUUGCAAGAAUUUGUUUACACAGAAAAUCCAGUUUGUGGAAAGAGUUGAACGGAUCAAAAAGUCAAGAGUAAUUGUUGUUUACAAUUGGUGGAACUUGGAAUUUGAAGUUAAUCGAGAUCAGUAACUGUGAUUGAGAAGUCCCGGCAUGUGUGAGUUUGGAUAUCAUUUGGAAACUUUGACUUCAGCUGUCAGUGGAUCAAGUGAUGCAAGCUUUGACUUUGUGUGUUCAUGGAAUUAACAGGAGGAUUAUCAUUAGUGCUGUGCUGUGUGGAGAAAUACUUAGCUAUCAGUUUUCUUCCUCUUUAUUUUUUGGUUAAUCUGGAUUAAAGUUGGUCUGUGUGUCUA